rnacentral:ncRNA from 1 species
GAUCCGUAACUUCGGGAAAAGGAUUGGCUCUAAGGGUUGGGCACGUUGGGCCUUGGGCGGAGACCCCCGGAGCAGGAAGGCACUAGCCGGGCAACCGGUGGGGGCCCUCCAGCAUCGGGGCGUGGACGCCCUUGGCAGGCUUCGGCCGUCCGGCGUGCGAUUAACAACCAACUUAGAACUGGUAC